GUAUAUUAGAAAAGAACUGACUCGCAGGUUGUACCUGAUAGACCUACUUAAAUCUUUUGUUUUAUUCUUUCUGUUGCAUAGAAGUAUAAGUUUAUUACUCUGUUUUAUUGUAAGUUAUUUCACAUGGGAUCUGUGUGCCUGCUAUGAUUAUUACUUUAAUACCAUAAGCCCACUACACUUAUUAUGAGAGUGGGAUAGUGUAAAUGUGUUACAUUGUUUGCAUGAUGAGCUCAGUAUUUUUAUAACUGAGACAAAAAGUCACUUCAUUAGUAUUUGAAAGUUAAUUCCCCGUAUGGGAUUAAUUGUAUAGAACACCAAUCAGCACAUCUUCCCUGCC